AUUGAACGCUGGCGGCAUGCUUUACACAUGCAAGUCGAACGGCAGCACGGGAGCUUGCUCCUGGUGGCGAGUGGCGAACGGGUGAGUAAUGCAUCGGAACGUACCUAUUAGUGGGGGAUAACGCUUCGAAAGGAGUGCUAAUACCGCAUACGACCUGAGGGUGAAAGUGGGGGACCGUAAGGCCUCACGCUAAUAGAUCGGCCGAUGUCUGAUUAGCUAGUUGGUGGGGUAAAGGCUCACCAAGGCGACGAUCAGUAGCGGGUCUUAGAGGACGAUCCGCCACACUGGAACUGAGACACGGUCCAGACUCCUACGGGAGGCAGCAGUGGGGAAUCUUGGACAAUGGGCGCAAGCCUGAUCCAGCAAUGCCGCGUGGGUGAAGAAGGCCUUCGGGUUGUAAAGCCCUUUUGUUUGGGAGCAAAUCCUACUGGUUAAUACCCUGGGCCGAUGACGGUACCGUAAGAAUAAGCACCGGCUAACUACGUGCCAGCCGCCGCAGUAA
rnacentral:rRNA from 1 species